AACAAGGACUCUGGCUUGUUCAUCUUCACAGCCCAGCGCCUGGCCCACACUGCAGUCACAACCUGUCUCAGUGACGAGACCCCCGCCACAGUCCCGGAACGGAAGCACAGGCAGAAAUGGAGCUGAGGCUGGGCCAUCUGUCCCUCUCUCCACUCCAGUCCUUCCGGAGACCAUCUCACCAGAUGAGGAAACAUGGAUGGCAGGUAAUGAGCAGAUAUGGCGACCGGAAUAAAUGAAAUAAGCUACCCCAA